GUUAACGUCACUGGUUUGAAACACCACAACAAUUCUCAAAUCUCUGCACAUGGAGUGAAGGCUGGAACGACAUUUUCGUAGCUGAGGACUGCGGUGUGGCUUGCACUAUUUAGUGCUGCCACACAGAACACGGCAUUGUGACUCCAUUUUUGCACAUCCAACCCUUGCAUUCCCUCUGCUUCCAUUUUAACUAAAUCAAAUACUAGUAUAAAACCCUACUCUUCCUUUUCCAUUCUCUUUCGCUGCUCAACUGGAGAUGGUGUUGGACUUGGUUUUCUGGCUUCUCUCUUUACUCGCGAACUUUGGCCUCCUCGCUAUGGUCUUUCACGAGCUUUUGUGCUUAACGGACUUGGAGGCUGACCAUAUGAAUCCCUUCGAAGCAACAGCUUCCAUUAACAAGUGGAUUCUGCCUGAGUUUGUGUUGCAAGGGGUUAUCUGCAUUCUCUUCCUUUUGACAGGACACUGGGUUAUGUUUCUCAUGGCAGCACCCCUUACUAUCUAUCAUGUGAUGCUGUUUAUGAAACGAGAGCAUCUUAUUGAUGUCACUGAAGUUUUCAGAAAUCUUAAUUCUCAGAAGAAGUUUAGACUGAUCAAGCUUGGUAUCUACUUGAUUUUCUUCGCCAUUUUAAUGUUCAGGUUUGUUAAGCCCUUAGUACAUAAUUAUUCUGGCUUCUUAUUUGGUUAUUUUAUUCCUUUGACAUGCCCGUCUUUGGUGUAAGAGCAUCUUUCACUUAUCUCUGGUCUAAUCAAGGCUUUCCAUACCGGCUGGGUAUAGAAUUAUUGCAGGCAGCUUAUCAAUUUACAGCUCUGAAGAUAUAGACUUCCGCUCCUCUUUUCUCACUUUAUAGAAACUUCAUUGUAAUCUUUGUUGGAUCUGUAACUCUCUGAUUGCUUUGAAAUGGGUUAAGCAUUAGAUAAAAUUUGAAAGUUUCAAAAAUUUCUGCCCUUCUAUUUUAGAUUCUUUCAAGGGCAGGAAAAAAAUCGUGUUCUGAAGUGCUUGGCCAAUCUUUUUGUAAUAGUUCCAUGUUCUUUUCCAUGUUUGUAUACAGGUUUAUAUAGAUUGCUAGUAACAUUCCAAUCAUGUUAUUUAAUUCGGUCACUUUUGAUCUUGUACAUCUUUGCAUAUGUGUGUGUUUGUGUAAUGAUUCAGGCAUCUGAUUUUUGAAAUUUGGAAUUCUUGCUUAGCCUAAAAUGUCAACUCACAUUGUUAAUUUUUUGGCACAAUAGUAGGAAAUUAUAUGCAUCUUUUUGGACAUUUUUGCAUUUACUUCCUUCUACACCAGGCAUAAGGUCAUGUGAAAAAGAUCAUCAAAGAAGAAAACAUCGAGAAUGUUACAGGAAUGUAAUAUGUGCAUGAAGUUAAUCUAUGUUGUGGCAUUACUUUUGCAUUUGACGAACAUGAAAUGCUUUUUGGUUAGAUGUUAACGUGUAAAGAAGUAGAAACUACUGAAAUAUGCAGAUGACUUUAUAACUGGGAACUUCUGACAUGGCAGAAUAAGGAGCUAGUGUCUGGUGCAGUUUUUACGUUUUUUCUAACAGAAAGCCAAACACACAUCAUACAAAAGAAAAGCUUCACUUGGUAUUCCAAUGAUGUAGAUGUGAUACAAUUUGCUCAAUAAAGGAUUUGCAAAGUCCAAUCCAAACCUGAUUUUUACUAUAAAAGAAAGAGAAAAAUAUGCCUUUAUAAGUGAAGGGUAUCUUUUCUCUGUCUUGAAUUUUGAGUAAUGCCCUAUCUGGCCCCUCAUAUUAUGAAAAUAUUAAGAUUGUGCAGGAGUAUUGAAAAAAGUUUAAGCAAAGGAAUUUAUUGAAGAUCAAGCUAAAGGAUGAGUAUUUUUUCAGUGAAAGUACAAGCUGUGGUUUUUAUUAUCAGAUCAAGCAUAAUUAAAUUUGAUGGCAUUCUCUGUAGAUAUGUAUAAAGAUUAGGGAGCCUUUUCAAUUCUCCAAGAAAUCAUGAGCAUUUUUUAUGAAAGUACAAGUGAUUUGUAUUAUCAGAUCGGCCAUGAUUAAGUCUGAUGCUGGUCCCUGUAGAUCUAGCAAUGUUUGUGCAUUUUCUUUUUUGAGAAGAAAGGUUUGAACAUUUUAGGUAUGAAGAUUAGGGGAGCCUUUUUGAUUCUCUAAGAAAGCAUGAUCAUUUAGGUACUUGUUAUUCAAAACCAUCAAGUUCAGGCAUGCUGUUGCAUGUAGAUAGUUGUUUAUUUACAUGUGCUGGUUGAGGAGGACUGCUUUCUCUUCUUCAUUUGGUGUUUUAUAGCUAGAACUGCUUAUGAACUUUUUUGAAUUCUUUCUUAGAGAGCCAUUCGGGACCUAACUUGGUCUAGUGGGUUCAUCUUGGGAGGCAUAUUUUCUUGGUUGCAUUUGAGGUUUGAAUGAGACAAUAUUCUCUUAUUUGACGUUUACAACUUUUUCUAUAACUUGUGCAUGUAUCCAUGGAAACCAGCAAAAUAAGAUUAUUUUGGUUUUCUUUUUUUUGGGGAAGGAUGUUGUGGGUUGGGGGGUUUACUAUUUUCUUAUUAUUUUUAUUUUGUUUGAGGAGAGGAGGGUAGGUUACAAUUUUAGGUCCACUUAUCUGAAUAUGGUAUUUAUCUACCUCCCUGAAGAGGGACCUUAUCUAUUCUCUCUCUCUCUCUCCAUCCCCUGAUAUGAAGAUCCUAACUUGCAGGAUUACAUUGAAUGCUUUCUACAUUCUAAGAAAUGAAGAUGAUGAGUGAUGACAUUCAGUGUAUUUUGACCACUACGGCUUCAGGAGUGAUAGCUGCUUGUAAGUGGGUUUUUAAAUCCCUGAAUCAUGUGAAAGGAAGUGAAUUGUAGCAUAUACAAAAUUUGAUGUAUUCAAACUUUCAUUUUAGGAUGAGUUUCAUUGAACUGUUUUUGACAUGGUGAACUUUGAUCUCAAGUGUUCCAAUGAUUCACAAAAUGCUUAUAGGCAUGAGUUUAUAAUUAGGUAGUUAAAACAAAGACUGACCUAUUAUAGACAGAACAUGUAUCAACUCAUGAUUCAACGGUGAUGCAUUCCUUUUUCUAAAUUACUUAUAUUUUCUGAUCUGUAUUUCACUAAUACCUAAUG
rnacentral:misc_RNA from 1 species